rnacentral:tRNA from 1 species
GGGCUCAUAGCUCAGCCUGGCUAGAGCGCUCGGCUCUUAACCGAGAGGUCGCGGGUUCGAAUCCUGUUGGGCCCA